UUUUCCCUGAUUAUAUUUUCCUUCUCAAUCCCAUAAACGAGAGUGGAGGCAUAUACCAUGAAAGUAAAACCCUAAUCCCCUUCGUUUUAACAGCACAUAGAAACGUCUGUUGCGUCUUUUCUUCUCCCUAUUCUUCUUCUUUCGCUUUUGCAACAACAUCCAAAGAUUAUUAACCUGUUUUUAUAUUUACCUUAGAUUCUUCUUUGUUUUCUUUUCAGGAACAUGCUAUGAAAAAAGAGGAGCUUCUUGAUUCGCAGAUCAAUGAGCGUGAAGUCCGUGAGGAUGAAAAAAUGGUAAGCCAUUAAUUCUUUGUUCUAGGUUUUUCUGAAACAGAUCCCAUAAAAUUCGUGGAAUAGAAUCAACACAGGUAAGUAUUUUUUCCGUGUUAAUAGUAACUCACUAACUCAAUUGAUGAUUUUGUUUCUUUAUUUGAUUCUUAGGGUUAUGAUUGUUGAGACUAUUAGUCCCACAUUGUUUGGGCAAUCUAAGAUCCUGCUAUUUAUAUUCCUAUGGGCCUCUCCACUUAUUGCCAAUUGGUUGUGAGUUGGAUGCCCGUAUUCUAACAUGGUAUCAGAGCAGGCUAUUUGCGACGAGUCAUUGACCGCGCCUUUACUCCGCGUCGCCCGAUUUAUUGUCCACGUGUUAGACCCAACGAGGCUACACGUGAGGGGGCGUGUUGAGACUAUUAGUCCCACAUUGUUUGGGCAAUCUAAGAUCCUGCUAUUUAUAUUCCUAUGGGCCUCUCCACUUAUUGCCAAUUGGUUGUGAGUUGGAUGCCCGUAUUCUAACAAUGAUUUCGUGUUAAUAUGAUUUGUUUCUUUAUUUGAUUUUUUCUUUCCCGUUUAUAUGAUUUCAUGGUUAAAUAUCGUGACUGAUGAGAAGGUACAAGCAAGUACCAUUUUAACGAAAAUUGAUACUCUCAGCUUUAAAGGCUUAGAUUUUUCUGAAGGUUGAAUAACGUUUUUUGCAGCAAAUAUAAACACCCUAAUCCUAAAAGUAAAAGUGAACCAGUUCGGAAACCUGGAUUCCUUCCGAUAAGUCAUAGGAUUAGAUACUUAAAACUCAGCUUCUACUUCAUCUUUUUUUCUCUCUUUCCAGAACAAAAUGUCUAUCUUCAUGCCUAAUAUCAUGGAAAAAGAUGUUAUCGAGGAUGUCGUGAAGGGGUUGAUUGGUAUAUUAGAAUACUCAACAGCCGAUAACUGUGUAUGUUGAUGCUUAAUAUCAUGGAGAAAUAUACUUUUGAUGUCGUAUACGAGCGAGAUGUUGAUUAUUAAUUUUUCUAUACUUUUAGGACUACAGGAAGGUGAUGGUAGUCUGCCUCAAGUGAAUGGCGUAUUGAUGGGAAACUGAAAAUUUGUGGGCUACCAGAAGAACAGUUCUGCGAGCAAGCAUUUGUUCGUUGUGCUAGGGAAAUCAUACGAAGCAAGGUGUGAGUGUGACGAGACUGAGCAUGGCCUUCUGUGGUACCACGAGAUGGGAGUAUAGACCACGUAGAAAUUAUGCGAGGAGUAAUUUCUCUGAACCAAAUGGUAAACGUGGUGAACAAAAGUGAGAGACACAUGAUGGGGAAAGCUAAGGUGACAAGCGUGAUGACGAUGAAUAAGGAUCAAUAGGCGGAGAUUGGACACCAAAAUCCUCAAGAGAAUAAAGAAAAAAAUGUCUUCUAGUGAUCACAUGAACAUGGUUCAUGUUUCAAAUGAUGUCGUCUUUUCUGUUGAAAAAUGUGGCACAAACUAUCCCUUGGAUUAAAGGGCUGAAACUAAAGUAGUUACAUUAACGGUGAUUUGUAGUUCAUUUUUUUCAAAUGUUACCACGAGUGAGUUGGGGGAGUUUGAUGUAUUUUGGAUCUUGGGGAUUUUGAGGGAGUGUAAGAGAGUACAGGGAGUUUGAGAGAGUUUGGUGUUUUGAGUGUAUGGAGUUUGAGAGACUCUCCCAAAAUUUCUACUCUUUUGGGAGAUUUGGAGUGAGACAAAAAUAUACUGUAAACUCCCCAGAACUCCCCAAAAAAUCCCAACUCCCUAGCAUUCUAAUUUUUACCACUAACAGGGAGUUUAAGAGUUUCUUUCAAACUCCUCCACGACUAACGGGGUCGCCUAGGGAGUUUGGGAGACUCUUCUAAACUCUCCCACGACUAACGGGGAUUUUGAUAGAUUCUUUGAAACUCCCCACGACUAACAGGAAAAAACUCAACUACACCAAAGUCCCCCAAUUCCCUUGAGGACUAACACCCUGUUAACUGUUAGUGAUCUGGAUAUCAUCAUUUUGAAUAAUUAAGAUGGCAUAGAUUAUUAUCAAUUAUCAAAUUAUUUUCUUCAGUCUCGUCUCUUAAACUUAUUACCAUGUUCUUCGUGCUAAAUUUACCAUGUUCUUUUUUAAAUAGGUUUCAUAUUCAAUGAUGACAGAAUAAAAACGACGACCCUUUCUGUGAUAAGCUUAAGUCCGUGCAAAGCACGGGCGAGGCACUAGUUGAAGAGAAUUAUAAGGUUAAUCGUAGACAUCAUGGUUUACGGGAGAGUUGCCAAAAAUCCAUGCACCAAAACUAGUGUCUCUCACGUACAAAGGUAGUAUUGCGAAGGAUUAUUUCCUGACUACUUCUCUAACACCAGCGGAAGCAGAUGUAGAAGAUUUUUUAUGCGGUCAAUAUUAUGAAUAUCGUGCAACGAGUAAGUACUGGUGCAGCUGCAAUUAGGUUUCUUCGACUGCUUUCACAUGUAAAGGUUCUAUCAAUUGCUGAUCAACUCAUAAAGGCUCUCUCUAUUGCAAUCGACCUCAUAAAUGUUUUGCCUACAUUUAACAAUUUGAAACAGCUGAACGUGUCUGCUGCAGUGACCAAUUGUAGAGCAAUAGUUGCUUUAUUUCGGUCAGCACCUAGUCUGGAGUCCCUUGUAAUCAACGAGGCAAGUGCAUAGAGCUUCAGUUUUUUUACAUACCUGUCUCUAGAUAAAAUGUGGUUCUCAGAUACUAUUAUUAAGUCAAGUAUGCGUUUGCAGUAAGUACUCCUUUAAGGUUCUACCUUUUUCUAUUUAUACUCAGUUAAAAUGUUAUGACACUGAAGACGACUACAACAAUGGAGCUGAUUGUUUGGAUCUUGAAAUUGUGACUACUGGGUGUUGUUUUUUACUCCUCAAGUCAGUUUGCUUUAAGCGAUUUUAUGGCGAACACCGUGAGAUGUGGUUGGCAAAACUAAUUUUGGAAAAAGCAAAAGCAUUGCAAGCAAUGGUAAUUUCUCAUUCUAUUCAUAUUCUUGUAUCUGGCAGAAAUAUAAAAAGCAAGGAAGAAGUUGUGGCGGACUUGCCAAGUUUUCGUAGAGCGUCCGCAGCAAGUUGUGUGUUGAACUUCUCCUAAAUCAUUAUAGGGAUUCUUGUGCUUACUUUUGAUACAACGAGCUUUUUUUUUAGUGAAAACGGGUUGAUUCCUGCCU